rnacentral:rRNA from 1 species
GUGACAAUGCGACGCCGCGUGAGCGAUGAAGGCCUUCGGGUUGUAAAGCUCUGUCAGCUGGGAUGAAUGGCCAGCGGUUAAUAACCGUUUGGUUUGACGGUACCGGCAAAGGAAGCCACGGCUAACUCCGUGCCAGCAGCCGCGGUAAUACGGAGGUGGCAAGCGUUGUUCGGAUUUACUGGGUGUAAAGGACAUGUAGGCGUCUCUUUAAGUCGGGUGUGAAAUCCCUUGGCUCAACCAAGGAACUGCGCCCGAUACUGUUGAGAUUGAGUAUGGGAGAGGUAAGCGGAAUUCCGGAAGUAAGGGUGAAAUCUGUAGAUAUCCGGAGGAACACCAUUAGCGAAGGCGGCUUACUGGCCCAAUACUGACGCUGAAAUGUGAAAGCUAGGGGAGCAAACAGGAUUAGAUACCCUGGUAGUCCUAGCUGUAAACGAU